UUUGCCUACGGGACGCAGCAGUGAGGAAUAUUGGUCAAUGGGCGGGAGCCUGAACCAGCCAAGUCGCGUGAGGGAAGACGGUCCUAUGGAUUGUAAACCUCUUUUGUCGGGGAGCAAAGAGAUCACGUGUGGUCAAAAGCGAGAGUACCCGAAGAAAAAGCAUCGGCUAACUCCGUGCCAGCAGCCGCGGUAGUACGGAAGAUGCGAGCGUUAUCCGGAUUUAUUGGGUUUAAAGGGUGCGUAGGCGGGACGGUAAGUCAGCGGUAAAAAUGCGGAGCUCAACUCCGUCGAGCCGUUGAAACUGC
rnacentral:rRNA from 1 species